UCUGAAGAAGGGUUGUUGCCUGGUUGAUUGUGUGAUGGCGGUGAUGGGAGGUGCGUGCUGACAGAGUGCUCAUUUAGGGAGUCACUGGUUGAGGAGUGCAAGGUCAGAGGGAAAACCAGAAAGUGCCAACCGGGCAGACACAGGUCUGAUAAGGAUGAGAGUGUGCGUGCAAACAAGACCGACUUCAAGCCCUAACAAAAUUGUUAUCUGCCCCGUCUACGGCUUUGUUCGAACAGCGACUGUGAGGCAAACCUAAGAGCCGAACCUAAUUACAAGUCGUGCAAAUCAGAAGACACCUUCAAAGACGGAGUCUGAACGACUAGAAUCUGCAGAAUGUGUAUGCUGGCGACAACGGCAGCAGGUCAGCUACCUUCCCUCUCAUCAAUGAUGGGGUGGAGGCAUUACGUGGUACACCAAAAAGGGGGGGGAGAACAGUCAACCUGCGGUCAGCCUCAAGAGGUAUCUGACCUCAGACGUCCGAAGGUCAAGACAAAGAGCUCCUGAGGACAGGAGAUGAGAUGCUGUAAGAUGUGACUUCCUGGUGGGAAAGAUAGGAGUCAAACCUUGAACUGAGACUGAACUCUUGAGUUGAACCAUGACCCCAUAAAUCACAAUUUAAGUAAAUGUACCAGAAUAAAGCAUGAUGA
ensembl:lncRNA